rnacentral:rRNA from 1 species
UACGUAGGGUGCGAGCGUUAAUCGGAAUUACUGGGCGUAAAGCGUGCGCAGGCGGUUAUUUAAGUCAGGGGUGAAAGCCCCGGGCUCAACCUGGGAACUGCAUUUGGGACUGCAAGGCUGGAGUACGGCAGAGGGAGGUGGAAUUCCACGUGUAGCAGUGAAAUGCGUAGAGAUGUGGAGGAACACCGAUGGCGAAGGCAGCCUCCUGGGCUAGUACUGACGCUCAUGCACGAAAGCGUGGGGAGCAAACAGG